UGAAAGAAGUAGUGUUGCUGAAUUAACACUACGGCAUUGAACAGGGCCUGAAUACUUGGUGUUCCAGGGAAACAGCACUGCACCAUGCCACCUGUAGGUAAAGGAUCCCUCAUCAGGCCAAUAACAAAACAAUUGAUGGGUCAAUUAUCUAUAAUGGAAGCCUGGCUUCCAACUAUAACAGAGUUUAACUGAUUCUGCAAGCCAAACCCCGACACCUGUGUUAAUUAAAUACCACAAGUUUGAAGUUGUGUUAACGAAUACUGAGCUUCUGUCACACAAUUAUUCAAGGUGUUAAAAUUUUUGGUGUAAUUCUAAUGCAUUUUCAUGUGGCAUUUGUCUUCAGGGAAUGAUUUUCAUGCAGAAAAUUGGUAGAAUGAGAUAGAGAUUGCACAAUGCCUUGAUCUUAAUUGCUUGAUUAUGUGAAGCACUGUAUAGCUGUCAAUUUGAUAAACAGUUAGACUGUUUCUAUACCUUUUUUUUCUAUAUUGUAAACUGUUCCAAUCAUUUAAGUUUGUUCACCUAGACACACCAGGUACAAAUAGCUAGAUCAACAGCCAUUAAAUCCCUUGAUAUAGCCUUUUAUCUUUCCUUAUUCCUUUGUGCAAAUCAGUUGAUUGUGCAUUCAAACAGAUAGCUACCCUGUACUCAAUCAGUUAAAAAAAUCUAAAUUAUAUGCCUCCAAAUUCAUAACAUCUUAGGUUUAUAAGGGUAACUGUGAUAUCAAAAAGCAAUUCAGUCUUGUGGGUUAUUUUGCACUGGCAUUAAAACCUAAAUAAGAAAAUGAACAGUUAAAAUGGCUUCUAGAACACCGAUUUAGAACAAGCAGGGAGAAGACACCCCAUAAAUGUUUGCCCUUAUCUGACAACAUACAAACAUUGGCAGGUAAAAAUACAGUUUUUAUCUCUAUAGUCUCAGUCCUGGUAUAUAUAUAUAGAUCAAGGGGGCACCAUAAAUUAUUUGGUCAAGGAGCUUUCAGCAAAAGUCUCCCCCAGUUUCUUUGGAAACCCACGGAAAACGCACAUUGUCGUGACUUCUUUGUUGGUAAACGAAAAAGAUAUGUUGGAUAAAAGCAGAUGAUAUGUUACAUACAGGACAUAAAACUGUGGAUUACUGAAAGGAUGCAAUCGCUGAGGGACGUAUUUGCCGAGGGCUGGGUGGCUGCUAAAAAAAGUAAUAUAAUUCCUCUGGACCACAAAUCUAUACAUCAACAAGGCCAGGAAAAAGACUGAAAUGACCAUACAGCAACCAUAGACAUGAAGUACAGAUGAUUGGAUAUGGCAUAAUUAUCAAUAUGCUACGCAAGAUCCCUCAGGCUGAUGGAAAGCAUGAACAACAGCCAUACUUAUUAAUAUAUGCUACACAAGUUCCUUGCUGAAAAACUGAUGUAAUUGCUUGAUGCAGAGAAAUAUGAUGUUAUGCAAGAUGUUGAUUGAAUUUCCUUUGUUCUUGACUAUAAAAGGAGCUAAAGGAAACUUAAAGAAUUUUUUUUUUGAGAAUUGAAAGCAAUGAUGAGCCGAGGGUCUUCUAGCUCGACUCAGUAAUGGCAGAGAUGUUGUCAUGGCGAUUAAAAAAUCAAGGUCAAACUCAAGGUCAGCCCUCACUUAAUGCACUAACAGAUAGACACACAGACCAGAAAUCUAGAAGUCCCAAGAAUCUCCCCUAUAACAUCUACUUCCUUCCGUCUCCUGACCGCUGAUACAUGCAGACAGUGGGUUUCAAAAGUAAUUGUCACAUGGCUUAUACAUACGUAUUAGGUUUUCUGUGCGAUAAUUAAUAUUUCUUCUCUCUGUCAAGCCCAGCCUUCCAACAUUACAGAAAUGUCACAAGCAUACACACAUAAAACCUGAUGGAAACCCCCCGACUCUUACCUCUGAUAAAUGUUUUUUCACACAAAAGGGAAAGGGUUUGGGCCUUGAUAAAUACACCAUUAAACUGAUUACCCCCAGAAAACAUCGGUCCAUUAGAUAACAGUCUUCCCUUCAGGGGUUGCAGUGGUGCACACAUACGUGCAGAGAAAUACCCAGGACUGUGCAUUAAGACACAUGUUGACAGUUUUGUCAUGCUGUUGUCUAAUGAUUAUGGAUUUCCUAAUUCACCAUUAUCAUUUUACUUUCCUUGACAGACAUACAAGGUAAAUAUUAACUUACAUCUGUUUCUGAACAUGUAUAUAACCUCAUAUGUGUACACAGGCAAAGAAUCUAGCUCCAUGUUAAAAUAAUUUCCUAUUUUCUAUGGAUAAUGCCUCCAUGUUACUAUGAAGAGUUUCAAGAUUGACUAAGUUAUGAUAUCUAAAUAAUGUUGAAUCUGCACUUAACUGAUUUAAUAUUGACAUAAUCAUGUUAAUGCGUUAAGAUUUGUUUGGAUUGAGUCUCUUCUGUCUUAAUAGCAUUCACAGGAUUAUCACCUUCAGUUCUGUUUCAGGGUGGCAGAAAAACUAACUGAAGAUGACAUGGUCAACCAAAAAUUUUGAAAAUUGUGGUCAUUAGCAAAGAUAGGCAGCACCCAGGAACAACAAUUACAACUGACAACAGUAAACAGCCCAUUAGGAGGGACACAGUCCUGUGAUGUGGCAAUUAUAGGACCAGGUGACAGGAAAGAAGGACAACUCUUCACUUUCAUCAAUAACACAAAGAAUAGAAGAGGAAGAUAUUCCAUAUAUCCUAAAAGAAUUCAGACAUUUGGAUCGACAAAUAAACACAUGUGAGAGUGUUCCCCAGCUGAUGGUGGUGAAUUCAUGCCAUU